UACGCCUACGGGGGGCAGCAGUGAGGAAUAUUGGUCAAUGGGCGCGAGCCUGAGCCAGCCAAGUCGCGUGCAGGAAGACGGCUCUAUGAGUUGUAAACUGCUUUUGUACAAGGGUAAACCUGAAUACGUGUAUUCAGCUGAAAGUACUGUACGAAUAAGGAUCGGCUAACUCCGUGCCAGCAGCCGCGGUAAUACGGAGGAUCCAAGCGUUAUCCGGAUUUAUUGGGUUUAAAGGGUGCGUAGGCGGAUUGAUAAGUUAGAGGUGAAAUGUCCGAGCUCAACUCGGGAACUGCCUCUAAUACUGU
rnacentral:rRNA from 1 species